rnacentral:rRNA from 1 species
UAGGGAAUCUUCGGCAAUGGGGGCAACCCUGACCGAGCAACGCCGCGUGAGUGAAGAAGGUUUUCGGAUCGUAAAGCUCUGUUGUAAGUCAAGAACGGGUGUGAGAGUGGAAAGUUCACACUGUGACGGUAGCUUACCAGAAAGGGACGGCUAACUACGUGCCAGCAGCCGCGGUAAUACGUAGGUCCCGAGCGUUGUCCGGAUUUAUUGGGCGUAAAGCGAGCGCAGGAGGUUUGAUAAGUCUGAAGUUAAAGGCUGUGGCUCAACCAUAGUUCGCUUUGGAAACUGUCAAACUUGAGUGCAGAAGGGGAGAGUGGAAUUCCAUGUGUAGCGGUGAAAUGCGUAGAUAUAUGGAGGAACACCGGUGGCGAAAGCGGCUCUCUGGUCUGUAACUGACGCUGAGGCUCGAAAGCGUGGGGAGCGAACAGGAUUAGAUACCC